rnacentral:rRNA from 1 species
UACGAAGGGGGCUAGCGUUGUUCGGAUUUACUGGGCGUAAAGCGCACGUAGGCGGAUUGUUAAGUCGGGGGUGAAAUCCUGGAGCUCAACUCCAGAAUUGCCUUCGAUACUGGCUUUCUAGAGGCUGGAAGAGGUUAGUGGAAUUCCCAGUGUAGAGGUGAAAUUCGUAGAUAUUGGGAAGAACACCAGUGGCGAAGGCGGCUAACUGGUCCAGAUCUGACGCUGAGGUGCGAAAGCCAGGGGAGCAAACGGG